UGCCACAUUCAUUCAGUACAACUCAUCCUGCUUCAGCAUCGAAGUUUUGAGGGGCCAUGAGAGCAGAGGUAGCCAAGUCGUCGUCACAUUAAGGCAGAGUGAGGACGUAAUUAGCUCAUUAGGAGGAGUUCAAUUGUUUCCCCAAAUUUCCUUCCACGAUUUUGUAACCCUUUGCAGAAUUGCAUGGGGAGGUUCGCAACAUUGUCUACUCAUCUGAUAGGAAAUCAGUAUCUAUUGUCUAUCAUGUGACUAUGGAACUGAUGCAGAGUACCCUUCUUUGCAUGGGAGUUAUAUGUGGUUCAGUUUGCAGAAUCUUGUUUGGUUUUACAUUGAUCUUGCAUGCUGAGUUUUUGGGCGUAUAACCAGUUUGUAGGUCCUACUAUUUGAUCUGUGGACGUGACCAAUGAGGGCAUGGAGAUUAUGGCGAGGCAUGGUGAUGCAGUGGCAGUGGUGAAGGUAACCACAUCGAAGGCAGCGGCAAUGGGUGGUUGUCGAUGAAAGCAGCAUGGGGAUGGGGGAGGUGGAGAGGCGAGGGAUGGAGGCGGAGGACGGCAGCCAGGGAGACGGAGUGGCAGUGAGAUUGGACGAGCUCGCCUGCGGAGUGCGUGGGCAAGAUUUCCUUUCCGGGUUGGACGAGGGCUUCUUUGUUUGUGUGUGUGUGCAUGUAAGUUGAUGCUCCAUCUUGUUAUUCAUUUCCUGGGAUCAUUUCUCGAGGAAUGUACGGAUUUCUCGAAGUGACGCAAUGCUAUGAUCUUCAACCAUGAAAAUGAAACUGUCAGCGCUGAUGGCCUGCUCCUGUGAUCUCAUAGCAUUGUGUCAAGGAGCAGGUGGAGAGGGAGAAAGAGAAAGGGAGAAUGGAAGCCAAGUGAUAGACAAAGAGAGUGAAAG